rnacentral:rRNA from 1 species
UACGUAGGGGGGCGAGCGUUGUCCGGAUUCAUUGGGCGUAAAGCGCGCGCAGGCGGUGGCGUGAGCCCGGCGUGAAAGCCCCCCAGCUCAACUGGGGGAGGCCGUCGGAGACCGCGGCACUUGAGGCCGGUAGGGGAGAGCGGAAUUCCCGGUGUAGUGGUGGAAUGCGCAGAGUAUCGGGAGGAACACCAAUGGCGAAGGCAGCUGCUGGGACGGUACUGACGCUGAGGCGCGAAAGCGUGGGGAGCAAACAGGG